GCUCUGAAGCAAUGAGACUUGACGGAAUUGCAAGAACCCUUCCCCAUCAAAACCAACAAGUGAUACUCUGUAACCUUCAGGAGGAUUGGUUAACCAUCUGUGCUUCUCAACAGAGGAAAUAGCACUCCCCAGAGGCUGAGGUACAUUUUGGGGCCAUCUGCUGGGGCCAGCAUCCUACACAAUGCCACCAAGAAAGUGCUCGAUAUAUCUGCAGCCGCCUUUGACAUCGUGGAAUAGAAGAAAUGAGAUCUCAGAUGACGGUCUUUGAUGCGUUAGCUCUGAACACGGAAUUCAGCUGCUACUCCAUUAAUACAAGACCCAGACAAGCACGGCCAUCCUGUGCCCUGUUCCCCCCAUCCCUCCCCCUGCAAACACCACAUUGUCAACAAAUUAAAAGCAAUCCGUCCAGGUUUCCAAA